rnacentral:lncRNA from 1 species
CUUUGCUUUAAAUUCAUAUUUAUACAUUAUAAAGCCAUAGGAACUGACAUUUUAGAUUGAUUUUUGAUAUUUUGAUAAUAAAAUAGAUCUUUACUUGUGGAAAGACCUUCAAUUGUUCUUUGAACAAUUGGUUUUUAAUUAUUAUUAUUUUUUUUUUUUUUUUCUUCCGCCUAAAUUUUUUCUUGCGUAGUAUUGAUGUUUCAAAAGAUGUCGCUUAGAUAUUUGGAAUAUGAUAUCGUAUAGUUUAUACGCUUUAAAAAUUUACAACGGCGUAACAAAAUACUUUACGUUGUAAGAGUUAUCUCCCCAAACACUGUUUUUCUUGUGGCCACUACUCCUUCGCAACCGUUAAAGAUUACGACAAAUUUAUUUUACCAAAUUGCUCGUUACAUCUUCAGGAUUAGGAUAUUCAUUUGGACCGAAGCUAUCCG